GACGAACGCUGGCGGCGUGCCUAAUACAUGCAAGUAGAACGCACAGUUUAUACCGUAGCUUGCUACACCAUAGACUGUGAGUUGCGAACGGGUGAGUAACGCGUAGGUAACCUGCCUGGUAGCGGGGGAUAACUAUUGGAAACGAUAGCUAAUACCGCAUAAUAUUAAUUAUUGCAUGAUAAUUAAUUGAAAGGUGCAAUUGCACCACUACCAGAUGGACCUGCGUUGUAUUAGCUAGUAGGUGGGGUAACGGCUCACCUAGGCGACGAUACAUAGCCGACCUGAGAGGGUGAUCGGCCACACUGGGACUGAGACACGGCCCAGACUCCUACGGGAGGCAGCAGUAGGGAAUCUUCGGCAAUGGACGAAAGUCUGACCGAGCAACGCCGCGGGAGUGAAGAAGGUUGUCGGAUCGUAAAGCUCUGUUGUAAGAGAAGAACGGGUGUGAGAGUGGAAAGUUCACACUGUGACGGUAGCUUACCAGAAAGGGACGGCUAACUACGUG
rnacentral:rRNA from 1 species